UCUAGGUGAAAAGAAUUGGUUAAGUAUGCAUGGAUCAAAUAUGUAUAUUAUAUAAAGAGGAUUUAAAAGGAAAGAAUCUAGAGCCAAAUAUUAUAGAAAUAGAAUAUACUAAUCCUUUUGAAAACAACAUUAUGCCCUGAGCUGUUUCACCCUGGUUAAAGUUUGUAUGGGAGCAGUUAAACUAUAGAAUAGAGAUAACUGUUUAGGGGAAUACAUAUUCCCAUGGGUGUUUAGGAUUAAGGGGUCUUUGGUAAAGGUGCCCAUGGCAUAGUAUAGAAUGAAGGUAAGAACAGCAAGCAUGAGCAAGACUAUAAAGAAUAUAUCCAUGGAAGAUUAAGUAUUGACACUAAUCUUUUGUGAUUUUUAUCUUGAGGUCCCUGAUGUCUUCACAUUGCUACUUUGAAUGCUCUUCUGGGUCAACGGAGGUAACUCCAUCAGCCUUCCAGGCCUUUACUCAAGUAUAACGAAUCCAAGAAUCUAUUCCAGUGACCUUUACUGCUGUAGGAGUAGAAAGAAAUACCAUAUGGUGGCAUAGGAAGGAGAAGGAGAAGACGUGUGCUCAACAAUAUCAUUCAGGAUAACUAUACCUCUUUAUGAAUCUCUUGUUCUACAAAAGAACUUUCACUUAUAAAGAGAAUCCAGUGUGGGUUCCCUAAGGGGGGUUUCCUUGAGAUCCUUUCUGGCUGCAUAGGUUUGUAUUACUAUCUGUUUGUAGUCAUGUUCCAGAUCCACAGUCCCCCAGGAAGGAAGGUGACUGGAUUUAGGGAGGGACAGGUUCUUAAUUGGACUGCAGAGCCUUCUAAUAGCAGAGCUUGAUAUCUAGAGAGGUGGUUAUCCAUUAGCCAGAGACUCCCUUAGAAGACAGUAGUCCUGCCACAUUAUGUGACAUGUAAAUGGUUUUUAUUCCCCAUGGUUAAACUUAGUAGCCUCUGGUACCAGCAAAGCUACCAGUGCAAAACUGCCCAGAGUCAGGCCAGCCAUCCUUUGUCUACCAAAUCAAGCUCCUUACUUAGGUAGCUUACAGGCUGCUGGAUUGGACCUCAGGCCUGGGUUGAACUCCCAGGGCCAUUCCCUUUCUUUCUGACACGUAAAGAUUAAACAUCUUCCCUAUGGGAGACUAAAGUCUGGUGCCUUAAGCAAGCCUUGUUUUAGUUGAUCACAGGCCUUUCUAGCCUCUGAUUUCCAAAUUAGGAAGUGAAUUUUAGCUGCCUGAGUCUCCUAUAUUAGAUGAUAUAAGAGCCAAGCUAUUUCACUGUACCCAGGUAUCCAUAGUCUGCAGAAUCCUGUAAUGCCCAAUAAUCCCCUCAGUUGCUUGAGGGUUUCGGAGAGGGGAAAGGAGGAAAUGAGCUUCAUCCUUUCUUCACCCAAUGCUUUGGUCCUCUCUGACAAGACCAGGCCAAGGUACUUCACUGAAGUCUGACAGAGCUGAGCUUUGGAUUUUGAAACCUUAUAUGCUCUGUUAGCCAAAAAAUUAAGGAGAGGCUUACUGCCCUCCUGAGAGCUUGCCUCAGCUGGGGCACAGAGGAGAAUGUCA
rnacentral:lncRNA from 13 species